rnacentral:rRNA from 1 species
AGAGUUUGAUCCUGGCUCAGGAUGAACGCUGGCGGUAUGCUUAACACAUGCAAGUCGAACGAAAGUUUGCAAAAACUUUAGUGGCGGACGGGUGAGUAACACGUGAGAAUCUACCUUUAGGAGAGGCAUAACAGUUGGAAACGAUUGCUAAAGCCUCAUAUGCUGCAAAGUGAAAAGAGAAAUCUGCCUGAAGAUGAGCUUGCGCCUGAUUAGCUAGUUGGUAAGGUAAUAGCUUACCAAGGCAACGAUCAGUAGCUGGUUUGAGAGGACGACCAGCCACACUGGGACUGAGACACGGCCCAGACUCCUACGGGAGGCAGCAGUGGGGAAUUUUCCGCAAUGGGCGAAAGCCUGACGGAGCAAUACCGCGUGAGGGAUGAAGGCUCGUGGGUUGUAAACCUCUUUUUUUAGGGAAGAAGUUCUGACGGUACCUAAAGAAUAAGCAUCGGCUAACUCCGUGCCAGCAGCCGCGGUAAUACGGAGAUGGCAACCGUUGUUCGGAAUCACUGGGCUUAAAGGGCACGUAGGCGGAGAUAUAAGUUGAAUGUGAAAUCCCAUGGCUUACCCAUGGAACUGCGUUCAAAACUGUAUUUCUUGAGUUUAGAAGGGGAAAGUGGAACUCCUAGUGGAGCGGUGAAAUGCGUUGAUAUUAGGAGGAACGCCGGUGGCGAAAGCGACUUUCUGGUCUGUAACUGACGCUGAGGUGCGAAAGCUAGGGGAGCAAACGGGAUUAGAUACCCCGGUAGUCCUAGCCGUAAACGAUGGGCACUAAGUAGAGGGACUUUAGUCUCUCUGCCGGAGCAAAAGUAUUAAGUGCCCCGCCUGGGGAGUAUGGUCGCAAGGCUGA